UACGUAGGGACCGAGCGUUGUCCGGAAUCAUUGGGCGUAAAGAGCGUGUAGGCGGUCCGGUAAGUCCGCUGUGAAAGUCGGGGGCUCAACCCUCGAAUGCCGGUGGAUACUGUCGGGCUAGAGUACGGAAGAGGCGAGUGGAAUUCCUGGUGUAGCGGUGAAAUGCGCAGAUAUCAGGAGGAACACCUAUUGCGAAGGCAGCUCGCUGGGACGUAACUGACGCUGAGACGCGAAAGCGUGGGGAGCAAACAGG
rnacentral:rRNA from 1 species